AUGAAGAAAAGGGAAGAAAAAAAUUACAAAACCAACCUAAACGUAGCUAGUCCAGCGAUUGUUAGCACGUCAUAUUUUUUUGACGGUAAUUCACGGCUGGCCGAGCAGGGUUUUAGAGAAAUGUGGUCAGAUUUGUGUAGCAAUAUUGAAAGUGACAAAAACUCUAGGUGGAGAACAAGUUUUUGUUGGUUUACGGACAGUAAAAAUGAUAGAAGUAAAAUUCCCCGCAUAAUGUAUACUGUAACAUAA